rnacentral:rRNA from 1 species
CAAUAGCGUAUAUUAAAGUUGUUGCAGUUAAAAAGCUCGUAGUUGGAUUUCUGGUGGGAGCGAUCGGUCUGGCGCUUAGCGCGAGUACUUGCAUCGUCUCCGGCCAUCCUUGGGGAGAGUCUGUCUGGCAUUAGGUUGUCGGGCAGAGGAUCCUCAUCGUUUACUGUGAAAAAAUUAGAGUGUUCAAAGCAGGCUUAUGCCGUUGAAUAUAUUAGCAUGGAAUAAUAAGAUAGGACUUUGGUACUAUUUUGUUGGUUUGCGCACCAAAGUAAUGAUUAAUAGGGAUAGUUGGGGGUAUUCGUAUUCCGUUGUCAGAGGUGAAAUUCUUGGAUUUACGGAAGACGAACUACUGCGAAAGCAUUUACCAAGGAUGUUUUCAUUAA